ACUGCUUGCAAAUUUUUGGGAAAUUUUAGGAAAACAUGGAAUACAGAAUGGGCCCAUUUCUCGUCCUAUUUGCAAUUGUCUUCGUCGGCACGGCCAGCGGUCAAAGUACCACGUGUAGGGACAAGUGUUGGCAAUACUUGCAAUGCAAGAACAGCUGGUACAACUACUUCAACCAGCCAGGCGCUGGAGUCAUUGUGCACUAAGCCGAUUGGUUGCGCGUGUGCUUGCAUGACGGGGAAUGGGGUCUCCUCCGCUGCGACAACUGUAAAUGCAAGCCAGGCUGGCUCUUGUGGAAAAGAUUGUUCUGCCUACCUUUCUUGUAAAUAUUCCUGGGAAAUUUAUCACGGAAAACCGGAAGUGGUCGCGUGGGCGUGCAAAGACCCGGCGGGUUGUGCUUGUGGCUCAUUGGCCCAUUUCAGGCUUCGGGUUAAGCUUUUCACAGGUAGGUACAUUUUUUUUCGAACUCAUCGUCGCUUGGGACUUGGUCCAUGGGGUCUCCUCUUUACAAUUCAUGCGCUAAUUUGGAUCUCACAAUGACCCUUGCUGUCGGAGGUCAAAUUUUGGAGUGCCAUCCCACGAUUUUGGAUUUCCUUUGAAGCAAUAUUUAAGUCAAUUCGCUUAGAUUUGACUGUUGGCCGUCCCGAUUUAGGCUUAUUUGGUCUCGCUCGCGGAGAUUUACAAUAAUUUGUUAUCACAAUGGUCAACUCCCGAUUUUUUCCCAUUGUUUAGUUUUUUCUGCAAGUAGAGUAUGAUGAAUGAUGAAUGUAAUAAUGAUGAAUGUAUGAUGAAUGUAAAUAAUUGCUAAACCCUUGCCUUAACCCCCCUUCGUUAUGAAGUAAUUUUUAAUAAGAAGCGGGUUUAAACUUUUGCAACUAAUUUUUGUGUGUUUUUUCCUGGUAUGAUUAAUUACGCAUACCCGUUAGCUUUUUCAUAACCAAAUGUAGUACCGUUGGAAAGCCAGUUAAAUUCUGUACAACAUACACCUAAACCCGAUGGCUGAAUAAAAUCUACUGAUAAGCUUGAGCUAUCGGGGCGCGCAGCAUAUGAGUGGGUUUAAAUUUAUGCCCUGGUGCUGUAUAUUCCAGUAAUAAUGUAUAGACAAGAGACAAAAUUUGUUUGCUCAAAGAAAUUUAAGAGUAAAUUACACAGAACUUUAUAUUAAGGAAUGCAA